ensembl:lncRNA
GACUUGAUGCAUCUAAAGAUUCAGAAGCAUAAGAGGAAUCUGUUUCCAGGACCUCUUUAAACCAAGCCAGGCCCUCCACCCUCUCCAUUGCUUUUUUCCUGGUAUUUCCAUUUCAUAUGAAAACAUUUAACCCAGGUCCUAACCCUCAACUGUCCCAUGAGUAUGUGAAUUACAGAUCCUUGCACAUCUGAAAUACUCUGCCUGCAGCUUUUUUUGGUUUUGCUUUGUUUUGUUUAUCCUACACAACUUCCUUCCUUCCUUCCUACCCCUGGCUCCCCAGGGCUUUUAGAGAUAGGCUAACCACUAAUCACGUCCUCCUGCAGGCUUCCUGCAGCAGCGAGAGAGAUCAAGAGCCAGACUCCUCCCUCUGCUCUUGGCCAAAGGGGGUUGAAAACAGUAAUGGCCAUCUUAACCAGCACUGCCGAGAUCUCUGGGAGACAUCCUUGAAUGCAGGGAGCAAUCAACUUUAAGUGACACACAGCAGCCCUGAAUGGGAGCAGAGUCACGGUCUCCAGAAGGCAACAUCUCUUCUAUGGUUUAGCCUCCACAGACGGCUGGCCUCCCAUUAGGUCGUUCCCCCAUGGGUGACAGUCACCCUGAGAGCUUGCUCAUGCACUCGUCACGCUCCCGAGCAUUCCACACAGGGCAAUUUCUCAGCAGAUUUAAGUGAUUCAAAUGUUUCUCCUCCCCAAGUGUUCUUUUCGAGGGCCAUUUGGAUUCCAGGGGCCACUGCCAACCAUACUGACUGACAUUCUUUCCAUUUCUUGCCUUCCUGUUGGGAGUGGAGAUUUUGAAAACUCCAUGGAUGAAUUUGUCAAGUUCUGAUCUAAAUUCAGGGCCAGAAUGAACACCUGCUAGGCAACGACUCCCCCCUUCCCACGGCCCCACAAAAAAGUUUGAGCUUGAUAAAUCCUCAAAGUGUGUGUGACAAGCCCCUCCGGAUCUAAAUGCCUUUGCCCAGCCGACCGCUCACUCACUUGUUCACUCCCAGUCUCCACUUAAUUUUCUUCAUGGGAAUGGUUUGCUAUAAACAGAAGAACAAGUUCUUACGGAGCACUUCAUAUCAAAGCGCUUUUUAAAUGGCACUUUGGAUGUCAACCACCCCAUCCGGGCUGGGGCACUUUACUCAUCGGCCUGGGUUAAAUAAAGGCACACAAGAGACAAGUGCUUUUUCCCAAGGUCUCCGAGGGGUGGGGUCAUCAAGGCUUGGAGAGACAGGCUGACUUAAUGACCAUCACGCCGAACUGCUGCAGGGUGGUGUUGAAGCCAAGGUCGUGCAGUCAGAGAGAUGCUCGAGUUUCUUAGCUCUGAGCUCCUGUUCCGGUGACUGUAUCUGUUACAUGUUUUCCUAUCUGCAAAGUGAAGGUUGGUGAAGAAUUGGCCUGCAAUGCAGGAGACCCUGGUUUGAUUCCUGGGUUGGGAAGAUCCUCUGGAGAAGGGAUAGGCUCCCCACUCCAGUAUUCUGGCCUGGAGAAUUCCAGGGACUGUGCAGCUGGUCUCCACAUUGCCUCCACCUUCCCUUGUAUGUUAGUUGCAUAGAACUUGAAACAGAUUUCUUCUUCAGAGUAAAACGAAGUCUGUGGUAGGUGGGCUCCUUGACUGGACUGCAAAUCAUUUCAAUCCAUAGAGCUGCUGUACUAACUUGAGUUCAGGGAGCUGGGAACCACGCAAGUCAGAAGCCAAGGAGAAACCAUCUCUAAAAACAGUAAUUUUGGAAUAAGCACUGGAUAUUUGACCACUUCCAGCACCCAAGUCGCAUCUGUCUACCUAGGCUCCAGGAAAGCAAGCUUGCCCUCGUGACUUCUCAGAAGCCUGCCUGCUUUCCCCAAUAGACUCAGGCCAAACUUACAGACCUUCCCUCCACUUAAAUCACAAAGAGCUGCUAAUCUUCAUCAGGCAUCUGUUUGAGUUACUGGACUCCCUUUUAGCUCUCACAAAUGUGUAAAUGUGCUUUAACCAGCCCAGAAGUAUUUGCAUUUUGAGCGAAACAUAUUAUCACCACCUAAACUGAGGAUGUUUGGGGCAGUGGAUGGAGGGCAGUUGGCUUCCAGGGCUUGUUCACUUCUAAACCUGUUUGUGGAAAGCGCUAGAAUUUUUCAGAAGAGGAGGACAAGGGCAUGCAGGUGUGGGCCCCGGGGAGUUAAAUAUCCUGUUAAUAUCCUACAGCAGGGGAGAGAGAGCUUUGGCAGGGCUCAGAACCACCAGCAUAGCUGGGAAACCAGCAAAUACUUAAAUCCCAGAGUCAAAUUUAGUAUGUCAGAGUGGGGCCCAGAAACCUGCACUUUUAAAUACUCUAUGUGAU